GAUGAACGCUAGCUACAGGCUUAACACAUGCAAGUCGAGGGGAAACGACAUCGAAAGCUUGCUUUUGAUGGGCGUCGACCGGCGCACGGGUGAGUAACGCGUAUCCAACCUGCCCAUCACUUGGGAAUAACCUUGCGAAAGUAAGACUAAUACCCAAUGAUAUCCCACGAAGUCAUCGGAAUGGGAUUAAAGAUUUAUCGGUGAUGGAUGGGGAUGCGUCUGAUUAGCUUGUUGGCGGGGUAACGGCCCACCAAGGCAACGUUCAGUAGGGGAUCUGAGAGGAAGGUCCCCCACAUUGGAACUGAGACACGGACCAAACUCCUAAGGGAGGCAGCAGUGAGGAAUAUUGGGCAAUGGGCGAGAGCCUGAACCAGCCAAGUUGCGUGCAGGAAGACCGCCCUAUGGGUUGUAAACUGCUUUUAUAAGGGAAUAAAGUGGGUCACGUGUGACUUUUUGCAUGUACCUUAUGAAUAAGGACCGGCUAAUUCCGUG
rnacentral:rRNA from 1 species